CGCCAGACUCCUACGGGAGGCAGCAGUGGGGGAUAUUGCACAAUGGGGGAAACCCUGAUGCAGCGACGCCGCGUGGGUGAAGAAGCGCCUCGGCGCGUAAAGCCCUGUCAGCAGGGAAGAAAAUGACGGUACCUGAAGAAGAAGCCCCGGCUAACUACGUGCCAGCAGCCGCGGUAAUACGUAGGGGGCAAGCGUUAUCCGGAUUCACUGGGUGUAAAGGGAGCGUAGACGGCGGCGCAAGUCUGGAGUGAAAGCCCGGGGCCCAACCCCGGGACUGCUCUGGAAACUGCGGCGCUGGAGUGCAGGAGGGGCAGGCGGAAUUCCUGGUGUAGCGGUGAGAUGCGUAGAUAUCAGGAGGAACACCGGUGGCGAAGGCGGCCUGCUGGACUGCGACUGACGUUGAGGCCCGAAAGCGUGGGGAGCAAACAGGAUUAGAUACCCCAGUA
rnacentral:rRNA from 1 species